ACAUAUUCAUUUGAGUAACAAUAAACUAGAACAUGAUCCUCAGGACUCUAACUUACCAUAAAGAUUUUUCAAGUUCUAGUUUUUCCGUAUGAACAAGAAUUAUUUAUGUUGAUUCCCUAAAGAAGCAGCAGUACUUUAUCAUCCCAAUCAUUUUCCCUUUGCAUGAGAUACACAUCAGAAAUUUCCUCCUUUGUACUAAACCCAGCAGUGCACAGAGCCAAGCUUUUUAAACGGUAAUUCAUUAGUUUGGAAAUAGGAAGUGACAAGAGGUAAUUGAUCUGUUUCAAUUUGCUCUGGCAGGGGACAGCUUUUAUUCCUUCGCCCCAUGGCCCCUUUUGACUUGUGUGUGUAUUUUCCAGAAUUUCUUACCUUUUUUUUUUUUUUUUCAAUUCAAUGGGGAACAAAUUUUAGAUUAUUUUAAAUCACAGAUGCAGACCUCUCAGUCUCAACCUCUUCUUUCCUAUUAUAACUAAGUGUAGAAAUUAGGCAACACCAUGGUUUCCCUCCCCUGCCUGGCUCCAUCUCUGCAUUCUGCCCAGCCUCCUUUAUGCUCUGUCUCCCCUCCCCCACAGAGAUUUUAAUUUUGUUAAAACGUUUUUACUGCAGCUGUGACUCAAGCAGCUCAGCUAGCCGCAGAAACACAAUGUCAUUUAAUAUUCCAGUCCACAGCCCAGACAGUUUCACUUCAGGUCAUUUGGAGCAGAGCUGUGGCGACGGCUUUAUGACAAUGAUUGGCAGCACCCUGCUGUGGAAAUCAGGCGGCCUGGAAACCCACCAGUGUGCUCUGCACGCAUUUCUGUCUUCACACCAGACUGCAGACCACAGCCAACUUAACUGAAGUGAGUGUGGUCACCAGCUGACGGUAUUACACUAAAGCCACUCUCUUGGCUCGCCCUGUGUUGGAUGGAUAAGACACAUCCAUUCAUUAACCCAUCGCCCGUUCAUUCAGCUAUAUUCAAAGUGGGUCUCUCUCAAGACAGGAGCCACGACAAAGCAGUGCUCCGGACACGAAACAGCACUGGCUCAGCUCCCACUCCCCACACCUGUGUCUGCUGGAGAAGGUAGAUGUCAAAAAUAGUACAGGUUGGGGAGGCUGUAACGGCAACUUGGGGAACCAGAGAAGAUGACACUCGACUCACAGGGAGACCAAAGGGACUAGGAGGUGCGCAUUGAAUCACGUGAUCCAGAAGCAGAGGAGAUGGUAUUUUUACAAAGAUGAUUGCUGGAUGAGAUCUGACGUGUUAUCAGAGCAAGCAAGAUAGUCUGGGAAAAGUCAUGCAAGGACACAAAGAAUCAAAGCCUCAGACAAAGUAGCAGAAGGUUUGGAAGCAAAAGCUGCACAGACCAACACUGAGAUACCAAGAUCCUUCCCACACAGGAACUAGGUAAAAACGGUUUUAUUAUUCAAGGACUCCUUCACUUGCAACUUGAACUAGCUUGGCUGAAAGGGAAGACGGAUCAGCUCGCAUAACCAGGAAUGUGAGGAGUGUUGUUGGGAAGAACCAAGACAGGAACCUGCCUGCAUUUUUUCUCUUCACUUCUCAUCAACUUUAUUUAGGCUUUUAUUUUUGGCUUUAUUCUGCCAAGCUGGGUGGUUUUACAAAAUGGAGCUAUGGUUAGUUAUCAGUUUCUGGGUUCACAACUUGCCAGCUUCUUAACAAGAGGGCUUUCCCUUGUGAUUCUCAUUUAAAAAAAAUCAUAGUGUUAGGUAGUUAGAAUAGGGAAAAAGAGUCCAAAAUGGCGGUGGCUAAAAGACCUGGAAGG